UAGGCGAAAAAGGGGGUGGCGAAGAGGAGACCGCCAAGCGGGCGGCUGGAAAAAGUGCUCUCACUCCGAGAAUAUAUAUACAUACGUGUAGAUAUAGGUAUAUGCGUAUAGAAGAAGGCAAGGAAAAUGUAAGCCGAGAUCAAGCGCGUUGAUCCCCUUACGUGCGCUCUCUGGCGUUUGACACGGCCGCUAAAAUUUUUACUCGCUUCGAUUUCGGGCUUUCGGAGGAAUUCCUCGACCUCCGAUUGGCGGACCCUGGCCACGCCCUGUGCACCUACAAGCUCACGUCGUCGUCUCUCUCUCUCUUGCUCCCUUGCAUGCGGCACAACCUCGCGCUCGCUCGCUCGCUCUCUAUCUGCCCCUUCCUUCGACCUCCGCUCUAUACAUAUACUAUAUAGCGCUGCUGCUGCUGCCCUGCGCGCCGCGUAUACGUGUGCGGGGUAUACACAUGCCACAUACAUGCAUAUAUAAGCCCCCCUAUAUACGAGGCUACCCCCUGUGCCGUGGCGUGACGGCCCAGGUCCGUAUCGUGCGGGUAGCGUAAGCUGCGGGCUCCAAAAUUCCAAAGAUCUUAGGGUGGAUACACGCGCGGCUUGCCUUCUUGAUUAAUGGACCAGCUCUCGCGUACCAAGGAGCCUCCCGACCACCCUCUGAUGCUGCAUGUAUUGCUGACGCUGCUGCCAGGGAAUAACAAGAAACGUUAGCGAUAAGAAUGGCGUUAAAAAAUUGUGCAAAACUACUGAAAUUUAUGCCUCUUCUGAGAUGGAUACACUAUGAUACUGUAUUCUUGAACAGACGUUUGAAAACUGGAUGUAUUUGAAUGAAAAUAAAUGUCUCAAAAUAGCAAA